rnacentral:rRNA from 1 species
UACGUAGGGGGCGAGCGUUGUCCGGAUUCAUUGGGCGUAAAGAGCUCGUAGGCGGCUUGGCAAGUCGGGUGUGAAAUCUCCAGGCUCAACCUGGAGUCGCCACUCGAUACUGCCAUGGCUAGAGUUUGGUAGGGGACCACGGAAUUCCUGGUGUAGCGGUGAAAUGCGCAGAUAUCAGGAGGAACACCAGCGGCGAAGGCGGUGGUCUGGGCCAAUACUGACGCUGAGGAGCGAAAGCGUGGGGAGCGAACAGGAUUAGAAACCCUGGUAGUCC